UACGUAGGGUGCAAGCGUUAAUCGGAAUUACUGGGCGUAAAGCGUGCGCAGGCGGUGAUGUAAGACAGAUGUGAAAUCCCCGGGCUCAACCUGGGAACUGCAUUUGUGACUGCAUCGCUGGAGUGCGGCAGAGGGGGAUGGAAUUCCGCGUGUAGCAGUGAAAUGCGUAGAUAUGUGGAGGAACACCGAUGGCGAAGGCAGCCUCCUGGGCUAGUACUGACGCUCAUGCACGAAAGCGUGGGGAGCAAACAGG
rnacentral:rRNA from 1 species